rnacentral:rRNA from 1 species
UACGAAGGGGGCUAGCGUUGCUCGGAAUCACUGGGCGUAAAGGGUGCGUAGGCGGGUCUUUUAAGUCAGGGGGUGAAAUCCUGGAGCUCAACUCCAGAACUGCCUUUGAUACUGAAGAUCUUGAGUUCGGGAGAGGUGAGUGGAACUGCGAGUGUAGAGGUGAAAUUCGUAGAUAUUCGCAAGAACACCAGUGGCGAAGGCGGCUCACUGGCCCG